rnacentral:lncRNA from 10 species
AUGGAACAAAACAGAUCCUUGAAGAAGGUGUGCUUCAGUUCUGAUGGUCUUCCCUUUUGGAGUUUGCAAUCUAAAACAGACUGUCAUGUGCACAAUGAAUUCAGGUUAUUUUUAUUUCCCUAUGUUAAGGUAGUAGGAGGCCUGCCAAAUAGGUACUUCUCAUUUUUCUUCUUCUGCUUUUUUUUUUUUUUUUUUUUUGAGAUGGAGUCUCACUCUGUCGCCCAGGCUGGAGUGCAGUGGUGCGAUCUCUACUCGCUGCAAGCUCUGCCUCCCAGGUUCAUGCCAUUCUCUUGCCUCAGCCUCUGGAGUAGCUGGGAAUACAGGCACCCACCACCACACCCAGCUAAUUUUUUGUGUUUUUAGUAGAGACGGGAUUUCACCACGUUAGCCGGAAUGGUCUCGAUCUCCUGACCUCGUGAUCCGCC